rnacentral:rRNA from 1 species
GACGAACCGUGCGAACGUUAUUCGGAAUCACUGGGCUUAAAGGGUGCGUAGGCGGCUGCCUAAGUCAGGUGUGAAAUCUCCCGGCUCAACCGGGAAACUGCGCUUGAUACUGGGCGGCUCGAGUGAGGUAGGGGUGUGUGGAACUUCCGGUGGAGCGGUGAAAUGUGUAGAUAUCGGAAGGAACGCCAGCAGCGAAAGCGGCACACUGGGCCUUUUCUGACGCUGAGGCACGAAAGCCAGGGGAGCGAACGGG